rnacentral:rRNA from 1 species
AUGCGCGCAUCGCUGUCCUCGCCUGUUUGUCCUUCCACCUCAGUCCAACCACUACUAUGCUCUGCUUGUAGGCUACCAUGGAGCAAGUGGUUGUUAUGUGAGUACCAAAUUUCUGGUUGUUCAUCGAUUGCUGGUCUUGUUCAUGUUUCUGUGCUCCGCCCAUCAUCGAGAAAUUGCACCGGUCAGUUGAUCAUCGAGUUUGGUUCGCCGUUUCAUCUGCUCAGUGUGUUGUCUCUGCAGUCCAGUGAGGAAUUGAGUGUUGUCUUCAUGACUAAUGGUGAAGCAGUGACAUUCAAAGUUUCACAGCCAUCUGUGAAAGCAUCAAUGGCAACCACUGAGUGUUCAACUAAAUCUGCAAGUUUCAACAGGCUUUACAGGGCAUAA